GGAAAAAUUGUAUGCUGUGAUACAUAUGUUGCAAAGAGAAGGGAGACAUUGAACAAAGCAGCACCCACUAAUUAAAAUAGCACAAAUAAUGAC